UAGCCUGUCCUUCCGACAGAGCAGCAGCGAUGGCUACACUCACGGCUUCCGCUGUCAAGUCUAUUACAGCGUUUUGUUUGGAACCAGAGAUCAACCAUAAGACAACUAGAUACCGUCAAACUUACCACGAUUCCUGGAUUUCCCAACAGCACAAAGAAUGGCUGGAUUUUAAGAAGGAAAGAAAGAGAGAGAGAGAGAGAGAGACAGAGACAGAGAGAAAGGAAGGAACGAAUGAACAAACAAAACAAAAAGAAAAGAAAAGAGAAGAGAAAAGAAGAGACCUAAGUUCACAUUUAUGACCAUUAAUCUCUUCAAAUACCAAUUUGAUUAAAGCUAUAGAGUAACUAUUGUA